rnacentral:rRNA from 1 species
UACGAAGGUGGCAAGCGUUGUUCGGAUUUACUGGGCGUACAGGGAGCGUAGGCAGUUGGAUAAGCCCUCCGUGAAAUCUCCAGGCUUAACCUGGAAAGUGCAGAGGGGACUGUUCAGCUAGAGGAUGGGAGAGGAGCGCGGAAUUCCCGGUGUAGCGGUGAAAUGCGUAGAGGUCGGGAGGAAGGCCGGUGGCGAAGGCGGCGCUCUGGAACAUUUCUGACGCUGAGGCUCGAAAGCGUGGGGAGCAAACAGG